GGAAAGGCAUUGCCAUUGGUGAGGCACUUCAGUUGCUAUCUGAACGAACUUUUGUUCUUAUGGGUUCAAUUCCCAUCUUUUCCG
rnacentral:tRNA from 1 species